AUUGAACGCUAGCGGCAGGCUUAACACAUGCAAGUCGAACGAGUGGCGGACGGGUGAGUAAUAUAUGGGAAACUGCCCGAUGGCGGGGGAUCACUACUCGAAACGGUAGCUAAUACCGCAUACUAUUCGAGCUGCCCAGAUGGGAUUAGCUAGUUGGUGGGGUAAUGGCUCACCCAGGCCACGAUCCGUAGCUGGUGUGAGAGGAAGACCAGCCAGACUGGGACUGAGACACGGCCCAGACUCCUACGGGAGGCAGCAGUGGGGAAUAUUGCACAAUGGGCGCAAGCCUGAGGCAGCCAUGCCGCGUGUAUGAAGAAGGCCUUCGGGUUGUAAAGCACUUUUAGCGAGGAGGCGUUAUUCGCAGAAGAAGCACCGGCUAACUACGUGCCAGCAGCCGCGGUAAUAC
rnacentral:rRNA from 1 species